UACGGGGGGAGCAAGCGUUGUUCGGAUUUACUGGGCGUAAAGAGCUCGUAGGCGGUCUGUUACGUCUGCUGUGAAAACCCUGGGCUUAACCCUGGGCUUGCAGUGGAUACGGGCAGACUAGAGGCAGGUAGGGGAGAAUGGAAUUCCCGGUGUAGCGGUGAAAUGCGCAGAUAUCGGGAGGAACACCGGUGGCGAAGGCAGCUUGCUGGCAUGUUUCUGACGCUAAGGCACGAAAGCGUGGGGAGCGAACAGG
rnacentral:rRNA from 1 species